rnacentral:tRNA from 37 species
UGCGCGCCAUGGCGAAGAUGGCCGCGGGCCGGCCCGAAACCAGUUCGAACUCCAGUUCGGAGAUCGGCAGUUCGAGCGCGCCGGCGCGCAGC